rnacentral:rRNA from 1 species
CGUGUAAAGAACGUACUAAUAACUGGAGGUCAAGUCUGGUGCCAGCAUCCGCGGUAAAUUCCAGCUCCAGGGGUGUCUAUGAUGAUUGCUGCGAUUAAAAAAGUCCGUAGUCAAGCUGACUGAACUGACCUGCAAUGUGAUUGAUUAAGGAACGAGCAGGGUUAGGAAAGCAGAGAAUUAGGAGCGACCGAGGGCUAGAGUAUUGAAUGGCGAGAGGUGAAAUUUGAUGACCCAUUCAGGAGUGACAAAGGCGAAGGCACUAGUCAAGGGCGAAUCCGAUGAUCAAGGACGUAGGCUAGAGUUUCGAAAACGAUUAGAGACCGGAGUAGUUCUAGCAGUAAACUAUGCCGACGCCGCGAUAUAGUUUUUUGUGGCUGUGUUGCGGAAGAGAAAUCAAGUAAGGCUUUGGGGAGAGUACGCGCGCAAGCGAUAAAUUUAAAGGAAAUUGACGGAGGAACACCACAAGGAGUGGAGUGUGCGGCUUAAUUUGACUCAACGCGGGACAGCUUACCAGGCCCGAUAAUCGAGCGAGCGUUGUACGCGAUAGAUUAAAGAGUGGUGCAUGGCUGCUAUCGACAGUUGGGGUGACCUUAGGGUUAAUUCCGGCAAGUAGUGAGACCCCUGCAGAUAGUGGACAGGUAUUUUUAAAAUACAGGAAGGAAGGGACAAGAGCAGGUCAGUGAUGC